CGGGUUAUAACUAUAUUCAGCACUAGUAACAAAACAAAUACUCUUGAAGAUACAGGUGAUAGUGUGUGUCCCGCACAAGAUGCCCUCCUCAGGGUGCAUGAGAGGCUUGCUUCGGAACUGGCACUUGGUGACGAAAGCAUUGAUGACGGAGUUCCUCGACUUUCAGCUCGCCUUCUUAUACCAUCUGACCAGAUUGGUUGUAUUAUUGGUAAAGGUGGACAAAUUAUUCAAGGUAUCCGCAGUGAAACUGGUGCUCAACUGCGCAUUAUGAAGGAAGAGCAGCUUCCUGCAUGUGCCAUUAGUGG
rnacentral:misc_RNA from 1 species